CUACGGGAGGCAGCAGUGGGGAAUUUUGGACAAUGGGCGAAAGCCUGAUCCAGCAAUGCCGCGUGCAGGAUGAAGGCCUUCGGGUUGUAAACUGCUUUUGUACGGAACGAAAAAGCUCCUUCUAAUACAGGGGGCCCAUGACGGUACCGUAAGAAUAAGCACCGGCUAACUACGUGCCAGCAGCCGCGGUAAU
rnacentral:rRNA from 1 species